CCCAGGGCACAUCUCCAAGUGGUAAAAGGGGAGGGUAGAGAAAUCCAGCUUUGCUUGAGGCUGCUGCGUCAAGGGUUCGAAUCCUGAAAUAUGGAUUUGGCUCUUGGGUAAGUGUAAGUGUACAAGCAGCCUUCCACCCUGUACCCUUGGAGGCAUAACCUGCAAUUUACCUCCCUCACGAUGCUCCAGGGCAGGGGUGGUGGGGGACCCUUAAGGUUAGGGUUUAAC
rnacentral:lncRNA from 1 species